GGACCACUCCAUCAGGAGUUUAGGCCAUACGGACAGCCGGGUCCACUGCCGA
ncrna:unclassified sequences Streptococcus sRNA SpF59 (ldcC RNA)